rnacentral:rRNA from 1 species
GACGAACGCUGGCGGCGUGCCUAAUACAUGCAAGUCGAACGCAGUGGGGACGGGUGAGUAACACGUGGGUAACCUCCCAUCAGAGGGGAUAACACUUGGAAACAGGUGCUAAACCGAUACUGAUGGAUGGACCCGCUGUGCAUUAGCUAGUUGGUGAGGUAACGGCUCACCAAGGCGACGAUGCAUAGCCGACCUGAGAGGGUGAUCGGCCACACGGGGACUGAGACAAGGCCCAGACUCCUACGGGAGGCAGCAGUGGGGAAUAUGCGACAAUGGGCGAAAGUCUGACGGAGCAACGCCGCGUGAAUGAAGAAGGUUUUCGGAUUGUAAACCACUGUUGGUAGAGAGGCGGUAUCUGACCAGAAAGCCACGGCUAACUACGUGCCAGCCGCCGCGGUAAUAC